CACCCCGCCUACCCGCUCUACCUCUCGCUUUCAAACUGGAGAGGCGCGGAAGCGCGUGUGGAGCGUCGGACUACAAAUCCCAGCAUGCAACGCUCUGGGCUGCGGCGGUGUAUUCUGGGGCCACUGUGUCUGCCGUCUGCAGUGGCAGGGGAAAAAAAGGAGGAGAGAGAGAAGAGACAGAUUCAGUUGGCCUCAUGCUAUCUUCAUUGGAUCUUCUUUGGAAAGCAGGAAGAAGCCAGAGCUAUCAACGGCCUUCUCCCAUCUUCAUAGCCUACCCAAAGGGAAGGAUUGAAACCAUCUUUGCAAAAUUAUGAUUGAGACAGUGAAGGAGAUCUAACUGAACGGAUUGCAUCUUGCUUCUAACCUCAAAGCUGUCCUUGUUCAUUCCUGGGCAUAAGCUGAACUAACUUUGGGAGAAACUUAGUUUAUAGUUUACACAAAGACGGUAACAACCCUUUCCCAAAGCAGACCUCCUUCUUGCCUGGAGACUAGAUUGCCUUUGUAGGACUAACAUUAACCACAAGAUUUGAAAUCAGGUUUAGGAGUCAUGCAGCUGGAGGAUACAAGAUUCUGACUUGCCCUAAACCGCUCCUAAGAUCGGUGCUCGAGAGAUUUUGCAGACCCUGCACUUGAUGGAUCAGCGGGCACCACCCAGAUCAGUAAACUGGCUCAUCUGAUCUUGUGGCCCCACCCAGGAAGUGACUCAGCACAAGAAGACAGCUUCUACUCCCUAUGAUUUCAUCCCUGACCAAUCAGCACUCCUGGCUCACUGGCUUCCGCCAACCCACCACGUUAUCCUUAAAAACUGUGCUCCCCAAUUGCUUGGGGAGACUGGUUUGAGUAAUAAUAAAACUCCAGUCUCCUGCAAUAAAUAAAUAAAUUAAUUAAAUAAAAAUCAUUUAUGCUGUGCCUGGCCAGGUCUGGUGGCUCACGCCUGUAAUCCCAGCACUUUGGGAGGCUGAGGCGGGUGGAUCACUUGAGGCCAGGAGUUGGAGACCAGCCUGGGCAAGAUGGUGAAACCCCGUCUCUACUCAAAAUACAAAAAUUAGCAGGGCCUUGUGGCGCACGCCUGUAAUCCCAGCUACUCUGGAGGCUGAAGCAGGAGAAUCGCUUGAACGCAGGAGGCGGAGGUUGCAGUGAGCCGAGCCAGAUCGCGCCACUGCACUCCAGCCUGGGGGACAGAGUGUGACUGUCUCAAAAACAAACAACAACAAAAAUCACUUAUGGCGUGCCUGCUCCCUGGAAAGCACUGCCAGAUAUGUAUUUGCUAUUGCAGUGUCUAUACGCAGUCACAUGAAGAUUUGGGCUAAAAGACACACUACCUUAAAAGUUUCACAUUCUUUCUGGCAAAUUGGAUUUUUCUUUUUCUUUCCUUCCUUCCUUCCUUCCUUCCUUCCUUCCUCCCUUCCUUCCUUCCUUCCUUCCUUUUUCUUUUAAUUGGCAACUCCGAUUUUUCGAAGUGUUUUUGCCAUCUCACUGCUGGAAAGCCUGGUUCUGCCUUUCCUAAAAUCUGGUGUGCAGGUGCGCACUCCGGCUACUUUCAGGCCUCUAGGGAGCCCAGGUAGCGGCGCGCACGCGCACGCGCACUCUUCUCCCUCGCUGGUCUUCAGGCCCGGCCCGCCCUGUCCAGAGGCGCCGGGACCCAAGCGCCUGCAGCCGCCCGGCGGGCCGACGUCCCACGGGAAUGCGCGAGGCCUGGACGGGAGUGGCCGAGGCGGUUGGGCGGAGGCGGAGCAGGCGCCAUGUCAGCCCGGGAAGUGGCCGUGCUGCUGUUGUGGCUGAGCUGCUGUGGCUCCGCCCUUUGGAGGUAUUCCACUAACAGCCCAAACUAUCGCAUUUUUAGUACCAGAAGUACUAUUAAGUUAGAGUAUGAAGGAACAUUAUUUACUGAGUGGAGUGUGCCAGAAACUUGUUUUGUGCUAAAUAAAAGCUCACCCACGACAGAAUUGCGUUGUUCCUCACCUGGUGUUCACGCUAUAAAACCAAUUGUUACUGGCCCAGAUGAAGAAGAACGCUAUUUAUUUGUGGAAAGUUCUCAUACUUGCUUUCUGUGGUACUAUAGAGCUAGACAUUUCCUUAACAACUUGACCCAGCUUAUCACUGUGUGGGCAUAUGAUCCAGAAAGUGCAGAUCCUGAUGAGUUGCUGGGGAAUGCAGAAGAACCUUCAAUAAAUUCCAUAGUACUCAGCACACAGAUGGCCACAUUGGGACAGAAGCCUGUCAUACAUACAAUUCUGAAGAGAAAAGUUUAUUCUUCAAAUGAGAAAAUGAGAAGGGGGACCUGGCGUAUUGUAGUACCAAUGGCAAAAGAUGAUGCACUAAAGGAGAUUAGAGGAAACCAAGUUACUUUUCAGGAUUGCUUUAUUGCAGAUUUUCUUAUUCUGUUGACUUUUCCUUUGUUGACCAUACCUGAAAUUCCUGGUUAUUUACCAAUCUCCUCACCACGUGGUAGUCAAUUAAUGGCUUCCUGGGAUGCUUGUGUAGUUGCAUCUGCUGUUUUGGUGACAGAUAUGGAGACCUUUCACACAACUGAUUCAUUCAAAUCUUGGACCAGAAUCAGAGUGCCUCCAGACAUUCUGAGUGAUGAUGAAAGACGGAGUGUGGCUCAUGUGAUCUUAUUGCGGGAUGGAAUCGUUUUUCUUAUAAAUGGUGUUCUUUACGUAAGGAGUUUUCAUGGAUUUAUAAGACUGGGAGGAAUUAUAAAUCUUCCUGAUGGUGGAAUUACUGGCAUUUCAUCAAGAAAAUGGUGUUGGGUCAAUUAUUUAUUAAAGGCUAAAGGAAGAAGAAGCACCUUAGCAGUCUGGACAGAAAAUGAAAUUUACCUCGGAUCCAUUCUUCUUAAGUUUGCCAGAUUAGUAACUACCACAGAACUGAAAAACAUCCUAAGUCUAUCAGUGACUGCUACUCUGACCAUAGACAGGGUUGAGUAUACAGGACACCCUCUGGAGAUUGCUGUGUUUUUAAAUUAUUGCACUGUAUGUACCGUCACCAAAAAGAUUUUCUUAGUGAUAUAUAAUGAAGAUACAAAACAGUGGGUUUCCCAAGACUUUACAUUAGAUGCCCCUAUUGACAGUGUUACCAUGCCACAUUUUACAUUUUCAGCACUGCCAGGAUUACUGCUAUGGAACAAGCAUAGUAUCUACUAUUGUUACCAUAAUUUCACCUUUACUGGGAUUUUACAGACACCUGCAGGACAUGGAAAUCUAUCAAUGCUAUCAAAUGACAGCAUUAUUCAUGAAGUUUUCAUAGAUUAUUAUGGAGCUAUUUUGGUAAAAAUGGAAAAUAAUGUAAUAUUUUAUUCCAAGAUUAAUACUAGAGAUGCAGUAAAGCUGCAUUUAUGGACAAAUUACACAACAAGAGCAUUCAUUUUCUUAAGUACAUCUGGUCAAACAUAUUUCCUGUAUGCUUUGGAUGAUGGCACAAUACAAAUACAGGACUAUCCCUUACGUCUGGAAGCACAAAGUAUAGCUUUCACAACAAAAGACAAAUGCCCAUACAUGGCAUUUCAUAACAGUGUUGCUCAUGUUUUUUACUUUUUGGACAAGGGAGAGGCUCUGACAGUUUGGACUCAGAUCGUCUAUCCAGAAAACACUGGUCUGUAUGUUAUUGUAGAAUCUUAUGGCCCAAAAAUAUUACAAGAGAGUCAUGAGAUUUCCUUUGAAGCUGCCUUUGGAUACUGCACCAAAACUCUGACACUAACAUUUUAUCAGAAUGUAGAUUAUGAGAGAAUAUCUGAUUACUUUGAGACACAGUGCUAUCAAUACGAGGGGAAAACGGGUAGGAGCCAGAGGAGGAACCCACACAGUGGCUGCCACCUUCAGGUCGAGAUGUCAGCAGCAGAGCCCCAUUGCCCAGGGACUGUGUGAAUGAAAUAGGGUGGUUGAAAUGCUGGUAGGAUGCUCAUUUCUGUUUCCCAUCGCAUUAACCCUAUGGUGGCCAAAACAUGGGAUACGAUGAGGUGGGAGCAACUUUACAAUAGGACCAGCAUGCAGAGCUGUCUUAGCAGAAGCAGAGAGCUGUUACCAGCAGCACCAUCCUCCAGGCCUCUAGAAAUUCACGUGGGAGGUCAAUGACACCAUGCACAUGGGACUUUGCACUUGCUCUACAGAAAGACAGUGUCAUGCCUGCCUCUCACAUGAUACAAUAACCUGUACGAAUUGUUUCUCCUAGACACAACCACACGGGUCUUGUGCUGGUUCAGUUUCGACCUAGUGAAUAUUCAAAAGCAUGCCCAAUAGCCCAAAAGGUGUUCCAAAUAGCUGUUGGCUGUGAUGAUAAAAAAUUCAUUGCAAUUAAAGGAUUUAGUAAAAAAGGAUGUCAUCACCAUGAUUUUUCAUACGUGAUUGAAAAGUCAUAUCUGAGGCAUCAGCCAUCGAAAAACUUGAGAGUAAGGUAUAUUUGGGGAGAAUAUGGCUGCCCUCUGAGGCUUGACUUCACAGAAAAGUUUCAACCUGUGGUUCAACUAUUUGAUGAUAAUGGCUAUGUUAAAGACGUUGAAGCAAAUUUCAUAGUGUGGGAAAUACACGGCAGGGAUGACUAUAGCUUUAAUAAUACUAUGGCACAGAGUGGUUGUUUACAUGAAGCACAGACAUGGAAGUCAAUGAUUGAACUUAACAAGCACCUCCCACUAGAAGAAGUCUGGGGACCUGAGAACUAUAAACACUGUUUUUCUUAUGCUAUUGGAAAACCAGGAGACUUAAAUCAACCAUACGAGAUUAUCAACAGUUCUAAUGGUAACCAUAUAUUUUGGCCCAUGGGCCAUUCUGGAAUGUAUGUAUUUCGUGUGAAGAUCCUGGAUCCAAACUAUAGUUUCUGUAACCUAACAGCUAUGUUUGCAAUAGAGACAUUUGGACUGAUUCCCAGUCCAAGUGUCUACCUGGUAGCUUCUUUCCUCUUCGUCCUGAUGCUGCUCUUCUUCACUAUUCUUGUUUUGAGCUACUUUCGGUACAUGAGGAUUUAUAGACGAUAUAUUUAUGAACCACUUCACAAACCUCAAAGAAAACGUAAGAAGAAUUAGGAAAACUGAAAGUUUGUUUAUUACAGAUAUAUGCAUAUAGAGAAACAGUGUAUUAUAUAGUGAUAUUGAGAGUGUGUGUUUGACCAAGAAAUACUAAAUAUAAGCUCAUAGUAGGCAUCACCAAAUUCAAGAUCUGAAAAAUAUUCUUGAACUAUCUCCAAAAUAGAAAUGUUUUCAUAUAUAUUGUUAUUAAAUUAAUCCUUUGUUUGCCUUCAUUUUAAAGAUACUCUAUGUACUCUCACAUGGCAUGAAAAAAUAAACUAAAUUUGACUAUUACAA